GAUGCGGCGGAGAGCAGCUGCCCCUUAUCUGAAGAACAGACGUCAUGGAUCCUUCUUUGGAGGGGGGUUUAAAUUGCUUUUGGCCUCUCUGAAAUGAGGAAGGUAACCACCCCGCCUGCCCUGCAGGACACAUCCCAUCUCAGCGUGCACAGGUUCAUGGAAUUUGAAAUGGAUCCCACCCUCCUGCUCACCGCAGGGCUGGCUUCUAACAGCCGUAGUAUGGUCACAGAUGGUAAAAAGAAAGGUAGGGGACUGUUUUUUCCUGUUUCCAGAAUUUUGUUUCCAGUUUGGUUCAUCCCUUUCACAAUAUUGAUGCGAGGAGCUUGGACAUGCUGGAAGGCAGGACUUUGGUUUCAGGAGGCGUGUUGGGGCUGUUGGUUUAGUCCUUUACUGGUAUGAAGAUCAAGACUUGUGAAAAAACCAUACAGUAAAAUAGAAAAAACCCACCUCAUUUAUCUUGUUAACUAGUUACUUG